AUGCUUGAAGCCAGCCCUCCAGUUAUACAGAGUUCUUGUGCUUUAGAUAUAUUGCGUAAGAAGAUUGUACAUGUUGAAAGAGGUAGCGAAAGCUUUCUGUUUGUUCAGAACCUUUUCCUCUCUGGUAUGGGUUCAUUUGCAGUGCCUAACAACAUUCUUCAUAUUCAUCGGUACUCUCCAAAGGAUAUCCCUGCACAGCGUAGACUUGAAGCUUUUGAGAAACAGUUGUGGUUGACAGGACAGAAGUCUGGCAAUGCAAAUGCAAAAUAUGGAUGGCUUGGAUCCAGAAAGCAAGACAUUGUCAGUGUUAUAGUUAAUGGUUUUGUUAGCACUGGAAAAAACACUCAUGAUACGGUAAUGGCCGAUGGCAUUUAUCUGUCACCUGAAAACCGCGCCUUUACAAGUGUUGGUCUUUGUGAUGUUGACGAAAAAGGGGUACAGUAUAUGUUGUUGUGCCGAGCCAUAUUGGGCAAAACAGGAGUUAUCAAACCAGGUUCACAGGAGGAGUUUCUAGGCAUUUAUGAUUCUGGCGUUGAUGAUUGCUCAAACCCAAACUAUUAUGUGAUCUGGCCAUCACACCGAAGCACUAAUAUUUCUCUGGAAUACCUUAUAAGUUUCAGGCUUGCUCCCAAAGUUCAAGAGUAUUUUCGUAGCUUGAAGGGUUUAUGGUUGCGCCCACCUCCAGGUGAAGUGAAAGUGGAUCCUUCUAUUCUUCAACCAGUGAGUCACCUGAACUCUUAUCAUGGUACUAUGUCAAACUGA
rnacentral:rRNA from 1 species